UACGUAGGGGGCAAGCGUUAUCCGGAUUUACUGGGUGUAAAGGGAGCGUGGACGGCAGCGCAAGUCCGAAGUGAAAGCCCGGGGCCCAACCCCGGGACUGCUUUGGAAACUGUGAAGCUGGAGUGCGGGAGGGGCAGGCGGAAUUCCUGGUGUAGCGGUGAAAUGCGUAGAUAUCAGGAGGAACACCGGCGGCGAAGGCGGCCUGCUGGACCGUAACUGACGUUGAGGCUCGAAAGCGUGGGGAGCAAACAGG
rnacentral:rRNA from 1 species